AACGGAGGCGGUCGCAUUUUUCUUUCCUCUCCUCCCUGCCUUCCCUGCUUCGCUUGUUUUUCUCUUGUCUUGUCUACUUGAGAGACUCUCUCUGCACUGCUCUCCUAAACUGGAAUAUGGAUUUGAUUAAUUGGUCUCUCAACGCAAUUGACACCAUCUUCUCGACGAGAAGCUUGGGUUCGGGGGAACCUGACUGCCCUGACGGAAUGUUCGCAGCUGGCUACACGAUGGACGCGUGGGAGAGUCUCACAAGGCUGCCCGUCAUGAUUGAAGUAGUGGGCAGAGCGGUCAGCAUUGAGACUGAGACUAUUAACCGCAAUAUGGAUAACAUCACGAAGAAGCUCACGGAUUUGGAAAGGAAAUUGGAGAAUUUGGAGACAAAUGGACAAUGAACAAUCAUAGUGACCGUGAAAA